AUAUUUGUAACUCUUUUUCAACAUAAUUCCUUUCCUUUAAAAUACCUUGUAGGAGGUGGAGUCAAGAUGGCUGCCUAGAGUCAGCAAAAGUUCAGACCCCUGAAAACACUUCAUUACCGACUAAAAAACAAAUGCUCCUAGGGGACUGAAAACCAAAUCUAACAACAGAACAGAGCUAAGGAACCAUCCUGCUAGACUCAACUUAAAAGAUUUUCAUCAAAUAGUUCUUGCCCCAAUAUCUGAAUCAUUGGAUUGAUCAAUAAAAACUCAUGACACCAGUAACAAGAGUCUAGAGAAGAUUCCAAAAGAUGGAAGCAUUGCAGUUCCUGAUCCUGAUUCUUUUACAGGUUCUGUCUAACCUUUCAACCA
rnacentral:lncRNA from 1 species